UAAAUAAAACAAUUUGAGUCUAAAGAUGGUGGCCUUAGCAGCCAGUGGUGCUGUGGCACUGCGUAGAAAUAUCAGUCGGCCGGUUGCUUUUGUGAGAAAAAUUCCUUGGACUGUGGCGUCGAGUCAGCUGAGAGAACACUUUGCACAGUUUGGCCAUAUAAGAAAGCGUAUUGUACCUUUUGACAAGAAGACUGGUUUUCACAAAGGUUUGGGUUGGGUUCAGUUUUCUUCAGAAGAACUUCAGAAUGCACUACAACAGGAAAAUUAUAUUAUAUAGAUGGAAUAAAGCUCCAGGUUCAAGUUCAAAGGCCAAAAAUUUUGCAAAUAUCUGAUGAAGAAAAAGAUUUUUGAGAUUGCCAGACUAUUAAAUAAAGUUAACAUAAC